UGCGCGUUCAUGUGAGGCGAGACAUUUUUGAAAACUUGUUUCAAGACACAGGAGAUGUCGGGUUGAAAUAUUAAUGAUGUUUCACGUUAAAAAUGGACCAAAAGAUUGAUGCUAAACAACGUUUGACAUGUUUGAACGAACGUAAAUAGAUUUUUUUUUAACUUUUCGUCGUGACUUUUCCCUCCCAUUUUGAGUAGCCUACCGAACGCGCUAACAACACGGAACAGCAUGGAGUUAUUUGGACAUAAAUUAUGAACUUCAUCGAAAAAAAAAAAACAUUUGUUGUGGACCUGAGAUUCCUGGAAGUGCCUUCUGAUGAAGAUUAUUAAAGCAUAUCGUCAUCCCCUCCUCCUAAGCCCGUAGUAGACGGUCGUCACUAUCUAACACCAUUACCAUGGCAGCCAGCAACACCAAGAGGCUUCAAGCUGGCAGAGCCCACAUCUAUACAGAUAGUGUUGCUGGAAGGGGGAGCUGAGUGCUGGUAUCUACUACCUCCUGCCCUUCACCAUGGGCUGUAGGCUGAGGAAGAGGACGAGCUGUGUAAACCAGUCACGCUGGUCAACAGGACAGACACUGGGGAGCUGGACCUCAUCAGGGAGUUCAGGUAUCUUGGCUCCAGAUUUCUUUGGGGGAGAAAUCAUCAAGAGAUAUGCUGGACCCUAUGUCAGAGAGGUGUUUCUGGGACCACAUUGUUUCUUUCAAAGUAGGAUUAUAGCAAUAUUUUGUUAUGUUUAGGCCUAUUUACAUGUAUAUUUCUAGUAUUGUACCUAAUGUUGGCUGGUAGGCUAAAUGUCUUUUAUGUAUGCGGAUGACUCAACACUACAUACAUCAGCUACCACAGCGAGUGAAAUCACUACAACACUUAAAGAGUUGCAGUUCGUUUAAGAAUGGGUGGCAAGGAAUAAGUUAGUCCUAAAUAUUUAAACUAAAAGCAUUAUAUUUGGGACAAAUCAUUCACUAAACCUUAAACCUCAACUAAACCUUGUAAUUAAUAAUGUGGAUAUUGAGUAGGUUGAGGUGACUAAACUGCUUGGAGUAACCCUGGAUUGUAAACUGUAAUGGUAAAAAUAUAUUGAUACAACAGUAGCUAAGAUGGGGAGAAGUCUGUCCAUAAUAAAGCACUGCUCUGCCUUUUUAACAACACUAUCAACAAGACAGAAAAUACAACUUAUUGAACAGCGGGGACUGUGAAGAGCCACAGACACACAUACACAUGAUAAGACACGCACUCUACACAUACGUACACAUGGAUUUUGUGUUGUAGAUAUGUGAUAGGAGAAUAGUGGCCUGAGGGAACCUAUUUAAAUGUGUUGUGAAAAGUAUUAUGGAAUGUAAUGUCAGGUAAUAUUUUAAAUUGUAUAUCACUCUUGAUGGUACCACUGCUCUUUAAUGAGCUUUACGUUUCCGUGAGGCCGAUACGUAAAGCUUAUUAAAGAGCAGUGAUACUAGCAAUAGCGGUGUGAGGGUUUUUUCUUUUUUCUCAUUUUAUUCAACUGUUACCAUGCACCUGCAAAAACAGUGCCUUUUGAAUUUUAAAUUGUAUACUGUAUAACUGCCUUAAUGUUGCUGGACCCCAGCAGCUAAUGGGGAUACAUAAUAAUUACAAAGAGUGUGCCCUGUUUAGCUGUCUUAAUGCAAUAACUUACUUAGGCCUAUAUGUCAAUAUAUAGGCUACUGUAUCAGUCGAUCAAUCAUUCAUUUGUUCAUGUCAUCACAGCAUACGAGUCACGCUUUGAAAUGCAAUUAAGCAUUUUAGUUUUAAAAUUAAAUAACAAAGGGAGCCUUGAAUAAUUAGCCAACAUUUUGUAUAAACUGCAACAUGUUGGCAAUUGCAUUCACAAAUGCAUGCGACUCAGGGCCAGCAUUAUGGGCGGGCCUUAGGGGGCCUGGCCUGCCCUACCAUACCUCCCGG
rnacentral:lncRNA from 1 species